rnacentral:misc_RNA from 1 species
AGGAGGCCUGUGAUUGGCUAGCUUCCUUGGUUACCAAACACUACCAAAAUGACUUCCCAAAGUGACACAUACUCUUUCAGCCGAAGCAAUCCUUCUAUUGCACUCCGUCGGAUUCUCCUACUGCAGGCCCAUAUUCGUGGUUUUGUUGUCCGACAUCGGAUGAAAAAACUAAGAACAGAAUUUGAGGAAAUUAUGCAGGAAAUUCAUCCCAAUAGAAAUCUUCAUGUUGUUUGGAAAAGAAAUUUGUUAUGCUUACCUGAAUUUUCUUCAAAGAAAGAAAGUUGUAAACCAUUCCAGUUGAGUUCUAAACCAAAUAAAUCAAAACCUCCUGAACUUCUAACUAGACAAGAGAACCAUUCAAUUCCUGGAAAUUUUAACAAACAUUCUUCAAAAACAUCAGAUUCUUUGAACCGGUGUCUACAUAAUCAAACAUCUAUAAAUACCACUGAACAUUACAAUAUACAAGGAACUAAUAGUGAAAGAGACAAAGAAGUACAUAGAGGUGAAGAAUUGGUUGAAAAAGAUAAGAAUCAUAUUAUAGAAGACUCUAUUGAGUCAGAGCAACUGAAGAACGAGAGAAAAAUUUCCUUGCAUACGGACAGCAGUGAGACAGAUUUUGAUAGAAAAGCUCCAAAUCAUCGUGAUCAUUUAUUUAGAAAUGGAAAUGGUCUUCCAAGAAAUUCAAGAAAAGAACAGUUCAUGAAAAAUGGCAAUGGCUCCAUUUCUACAGCAUCAUUUUGUCUGCCUGUAUCUUCUCCUACACCAUUUGACUGUUCAUCUUUGACUGAUGUCACCUCAGUUUGGGACAGCACCCCAUCAUCUCCAGAUAUCACAUUAGAUGACAUCCAGGCUUCAGAAACUUCAAGCUCUUUGCUGCAGGAGAGACAGAAUUUGGCCAUGGAGUUAGUGUGGAUACAACAAGCAAUAUCAAGUCGGAAAAAUUAUCUCCAGCUGAAGUCUCAGAUUGAAACAUGAUUCCAUACCAAGCUUCAGCAUUUGACACAAGAGUUUUGAAAUAUGGAGAGUGUUCCUAUGGUUCAAUCAGCCAAAGAAUAAAUGAACCCUUGUGUUAGCAGUCUGUAUAUCAGUAGAGACUAACUACAAACAGUAUGGCUGGAGACUAUACACAAGACUGACUUUUAUUGGAGAGCUAACCAACAGAGGCAUGACUAGAAAAUAUGCUUUCCAACAGCCUCCCGGUGCAGCCAUGAAAGAAUGCAAAAGUUUCUCUGGUCUGUCAUGCCUAUUAAGGGGUGGGCACCAAAAGUGUGUUUGUUCUUGGAUACUGAGAAACUUUGUUAUGCUAUUGGAAAUCAGUACCUGUAUAUUACAGGUAUUUAUUUUAUUGAGCCCUGCAGGGAUAAGAUAAAGAACAAAGUCGACCCAUAAAGUAGAGAAAUAUAGUUCAAUACCAAGAAGUCAUCAUCAUCAUCAUCAUCG